rnacentral:ncRNA from 1 species
UAAUUAAAGGAUUUGAGAUCUAAAGGAGAUUAUAUUUAACAAUAAAUAUUUCAAUAUUUUAUUAAGAUCUAUUGUGACGAAUUGUCUAGUGGAAUGUCAUGGUAGUUUACAGGAAUGUCAUGGUAGUUUACAGAUCAAUGGUAGUGACAAUAAAUAAAAAUAUGGGGCUCAUGAAUCAAGAAUGAAAUUUGUCGGCUUAAAGAUGAUCAAAUAUUGUCAGAGUCUCAACCAUAAAUUAUUCUCACUAGGGAUUAAUGGAUCUUUCUCUAAAGAUUCCACCAGCACCUUAUGACAAAUCAGAGCAUUUGGGUUUCA